rnacentral:SRP_RNA from 1 species
CUCCGCUGUCCGGGGAAGUAGCGGUGCCCUCGACCCGCAAUCCGCUAUAGCGGGGGAGACCGUCGCCCUCGGGGCGUACUGUGUAUAGCGUCCGUCCCGCGUUGCUUAUGACCGGGCGGUCCCGCGCAACGAAAGCCCACGAACCAUGUCAGGCGGGGAACCGAGCAGCAUUAAGAGGUGUCUUUCGUGUGCCGUGGGGCUGCCGCCCGCGAGGUAUUCGCGUGCCGGCUCCCUUUAUACAGUCGUUUCAAAGGCGGCUGCGGGG